UCCAAUUUUAGGUGUAUUUUAAGGUAUCUCUACCUGGUAAGGAGUUUUUUGUGGACUUAGAAAAACAAAAGAAUUACAGUGAUUACUAAACAACCACAAAAUUAAAAUUCCAUCUGCAAAUACAGGUGCUAGAGUAAAGAAAUUUGCUGUGACGGGCGUAUAUUGUGACAUUCUGGCACUCCUAUCUAUUCUGUAGUUUAUUGAAUUUUUUUAAAUGUGAAGCAUGCAUAAUUCAUAUAAAAACCUGCCUUCUGGCUUUUAUAUGGCAGUUGUGGGGGAACCAGUUAAUAUAACAUAGCCAAGCUAGUGUAGAAAAAAGAAAUGAAAGAGCAUGGUUUUGAAGCAGCUACAGUUAAGAUGUAUAUAAGAUUGUACAGAAGAUAUAGGUUACAAACACGAUCCCAUCUAUUCUAUAGAUUUUUUUUUCCAUCUGGUGUUGAAAAUGUAUAAUCUGGAAAAGUGCAUAUUUGCAAUUUUAUUAUACGCCCGUCCAUCUGUCUGUCAGUCUUUUAGUUAUUUCGUGUCCGCUCAGUAAUUCUUGAAAACCUGGAAGCAUUUGUAAGAAACCUUACACAAAUGUUUACCACAUUGGGAUGACGUGCAGAGUGCAUGUUUUCGAUGGCUCACUUCAAGUUUGUGGUCACACUUAGGGGUCAAAGGUCAAAUGUUUCGUGUCCGCUCUGUAACUUGGACUGCUUGAAGGAUUUUAGAGAAACUUGGCACAAAGUUUACCACAUCAAGACAAAAUGCAGAACACGUUUCGGAUGGUUUGCUUCAAGGUCAUCGUCACAAGGGUCAAAGGUCAUACCUUUGUGCGUAUAUUGCACUGCAUUGCAGUGCUCUUGUUUAGGUUCCUGUUAUAUAUUAACACACAAUACAAAUGGAAAAUCUCAUUUGCCAUUUGCUAUAAUGGAGUUGCAGACAAUUCCUAGCUACCAUUGUUAUACAGUAAGGCAAUUAAAAACAAUUUACCUAAGGAUGUUGUAUAUAAAGCUAUUUUUAGCUCGACUAUAUGAAGUAUGGAGAGCUAUGCUACUUGACCCGCCGUCGGCAUCGGCAUCCUUCCGCGUCCGCACUUCGGUUCAAGUUUUGAUGCACUUUCUCUUUAUCUUUGUUAUUUCUUGAUGGAUUUACUUCAAACUUGAAAUAGUUGUUCCUCAUCAUCACCCACAUCAUAUGGCACAAGGGUCAUAACUCUAGCACCAAUAUUUCAUGAAUUAUCCCCCCUUUUUACCUAGAAUUUCAGGUUAAAGUUUUGGCGCACUUCCAAUUUAUCUCAGUUACUAAAUUGAUUUGAUUCAGACUUAAAAUACAUGUAGUUGAUCAACAUCAUCACUUACAUCAUAUGACACAAGGACCGUUACUCUUGCACAAGUAUUUCAUAAAUUAUCCCCCCUUUUUACUUAGAAUUUCAGGUUAAAGUUUUGGUGCACUUUCACUCUAUCUCAGUUAUUAUUAAAUGGAUUUGAUUCAAACUUAAAAUAGUUGUUCAACAUCUUCACUCACAUCAUAUGACACAAGGGCCAUAGCUCUUGCACCAUUAUUUCUUGAAUUAUCCCCCUUUUUACUUAUGAUUUCAGGUUAAAGUUUUGGUGCACUUUCACUCUAACUCAGUUGUUACUAAAUGGAUUUGAUUCAAACUUAAAAUAGUUGUUCCACCUUAUCACCAACAUCAUAUGACCACGGUCCAUAACUCUGGCACCAAUUUUUCAUGAAUUAUGCCCCCUUUUAAUUAAUUGAAUUAAAGGUUAAUUUUGAUGCAUUUUCACUAUAUCUCGGGUUAUUACUAAAUGGAUUUGAUUCAACAUGACACAAGGUGCAUCACUCUUGCACCAAUUUUUCAUGAAUUAUGCCCCCUUUUUGCUAAGAAUUAUACUGAAUAUUUAAUGUUUUGAUACACUUGAUCCUUAUCUCUUUUGUUACUUUUUAUUACUAUUUCAUCCACGUUGGAGACAUUGAACACUCCAGCGACAGCUACAGCUUCGACAGAUGUGCCCAGUUUCACUAUCCAGCAUCGAAAUAGUCAAGCGCACUGUCUCCUGUGACAGCUCUUGUUAGACAUUGUAUAAAACAAGAUAGUUAAGAAAAGUCAUGUAUGCCUUUGUGAUGUUGAAAUAAAUACAAGCAACACUAUGAACAGGGCAGUUUGGUUUUAGUGUUGACUGCAUUUUAUAGAAUCAUUUAAUGUUCUAUCCAGACAAUAUGCUGAGCCAGCUCAAAUUUGAUCUCUGGAAAGACUCGUGUUUACUUUUACAAUUCAAAAGAGGGCGAUAUAUGGGAAGUCGUUUGUUCCCAACUUGUCAUUCAUGUGGGCAAGUUGUCAGUUAAUUAAAUAGAACAAGUAGGUGUUAGAAAUAGUUUGAAAGAAAACUGGUGAAAUUUAUUGAUUGACUGAGAAACACUUGACCAGCAGGUCAAAUAAGCCUUUUAAUCAUACCAGACAGCAAUAAGCGGGUAACUGACAAAACAUGGCUUUAUCAUUCAUUACUUAAUAAACUUACAUUUUAUUGAAUUUUAGACAAUAUUUACCCUCACCCGUCCCCAGAGAAAAUCCAUUCCCUGUUUGAUUAGACCAAGGGUGACAAAAUCCCAUUUUGAUUUAGUAAAAUGAAAAGAUGGUAUAUACUUACCCCAUUUAGCUUUAGUUAAUGUGACAGGGUGAUAAUUUAGGGUUCUGAUACCAUCAAUUGUGUGAGACCUCUCAGUUGUUGUUAUGUGAGACCUCCAUUCCAGUUUUUACGUUUGACAUUGUUGACCUUAUUUGAACUCUAUUUUAUUGGUUCUCGUGAUCAGCUGUCUCGGGGCAGAGCGCCGUUUUCAAUUUGAUAGAGCAGACAUGUUGGUUAUUCUGCAGAGUUCUUUAAAAAGGAACUUAAAUAAUGGAAUUAUUUAAUAGUUUAAUACAGUAAAGCACUCACGGGAGACAGGCGAAGAUGUGUUGUAUAAGGUAGCUAGUGUGAUCAAGUCCAUAAUUUGGUCACCGUGUUUCGGUCACCGUUUGAUUAGGAAAAUGUUAAUUAGAUAAAUACCAGACUGUUUAGUGUCAAAGACGAUAUAAGGAUGUGAUACAAUUGAUAAAUAAUAUAAAGGACAUUUCGAACCACGCAAACAACAUUGGUUAUUCUUUAUUAAGUAGUUAGAACUCAAACUACCAUAUAUAAAAUAAGCCAUAGUUACAUUAACUUCUUACAUUUAAUUAAGUUGAGAGAAAAAUCUUUUUAAACUUUGUAGUCUUAAAAUCAAGAAUUGUUUUGAAGGCAUAGUAGAGUUUUUGUCCAUCUUUUUUUGUAUUGAGCAAGGGGUGUUUGUGAGGAGGUUGGGGGAUUCUUCGUUUACAGAGUACAUGUACAUUAAGAUUAACUCUUAGUAAGUAUUAUGACAUUUAUUCAUUCAUUGGUCUAAUUACUAUACAUAUAUGUAUGUAUGUAUGAUGUAUUUCAUUUAAGUCUUUGUCAAGGAUAAAUGUCUGUAUUUUUGUACAGAAUAAAAGCUAUAACUACU